rnacentral:tRNA from 5 species
GCUGUCAUAGCUCAGGGGUAGAGCACUUCAUUGGUAAUGAAGAGGUCCAGGGUUCAAUUCCCUGUGACAGCACCA